rnacentral:rRNA from 1 species
AGAGUUUGAUCCUGGCUCAGGAUGAACGCCAGCUACAGGCUUAACACAUGCAAGUCGAGGGGAAACGACAUCGAAAGCUUGCUUUUGAUGGGCGUCGACCGGCGCACGGGUGAGUAACGCGUAUCCAACCUGCCCACCACGUUGGGGAUAACCUUGCGAAAGUAAGACUAAUACCCAAUGACGUCUCUAGAAGACAUCUGAAGGAGAUUAAAGAUUUAUCGGUGAUGGAUGGGGAUGCGUCUGAUUAGCUUGUUGGCGGGGUAACGGCCACCAAGGCGACGAUCAGUAGGGGUUCUGAGAGGAACGGUCCCCCACAUUGGAACUGAGACACGGUCCAAACUCCGUACGGGAGGA